UACAGAGGUCCCGAGCGUUGUUCGGAUUCAUUGGGCGUAAAGGGUGCGUAGGUGGCGCUGUAAGUGGGGUGUGAAAUCCCGGGGCUUAACUCCGGAACUGCAUUCCAUACUGCGGUGCUUGAGGACUGGAGAGGAGACUGGAAUUUACGGUGUAGCAGUGAAAUGCGUAGAGAUCGUAAGGAAGACCAGUGGCGAAGGCGGCAUCCUGGACCGAUACUGACGCUGAUGAGCGAAAGCCAGGGGAGCAAACGGG
rnacentral:rRNA from 1 species